rnacentral:rRNA from 1 species
UUAUUUGAGAGUUUGAUCCUGGCUCAGGAUGAACGCUGGCGGCGUGCCUAACACAUGCAAGUUGAGCGAUUUACUUC